GGGGAUUUAGCUCAGCGGUAGAGCACUUGCCUAGCAAGUGCAAGGCCCUGGGGUUCGAUCCCCAGCUCCG
rnacentral:tRNA from 1 species